rnacentral:rRNA from 1 species
UACAGAGGGUGCAAGCGUUAAUCGGAAUUACUGGGCGUAAAGCGUGCGCAGGCGGUCUGUUAAGACCGAUGUGAAAUCCCCGGGCUUAACCUGGGAACUGCAUUGGUGACUGGCAGGCUUUGAGUGUGGCAGAGGGAGGUAGAAUUCCACGUGUAGCAGUGAAAUGCGUAGAGAUGUGGAGGGAUACCGAUGGCGAAGGCAGCCUCCUGGGCCAACACUGACGCUCAUGCACGAAAGCGUGGGGAGCAAACAGG